ACCUGUCUCAGUUCGGAUCGGAGUCUGCAACCCGACUCCGUGAAGCUGGAUUCGCUAGUAAUCGCGCAUCAGCCAUGGCGCGGUGAAUACGUUCCCGGGCCUUGUACACACCGCCCGUCAAGCCAUGGAAGCCGGGGGUGCCUGAAGUGUGCAACCGCAAGGAGCGCCCUAAGGUAAAACCGGUGACUGGGGCUAAGUCGUAACAAGGUAAC
rnacentral:rRNA from 1 species